CCCCUAGAUGUUCUGGGCCGCACGCGCGCUACACUGAACAGUUCAACAAGUCUUAACCUUGGCCGAUAGGUCUGGGUAAUCUUUGAACGCUGUUCGUGAUUGGGAUAGACCUUUGCAAUUAUGGGUCUUCAACGAGGAAUUCCUAGUAAACGCAAGUCAUCAGCUUGCAUUGAUUACGUCCCUGCCCUUUGUACACACCGCCCGUCGCACCUACCGAUUGAAUGGUCCGGUGAAAUCUCGGACGGCGGCUUGGUCGCUUGCGUCCGACUGCUGAAACUUGAUUAAACCAUAUCAUUUAGAGGAAGGUGAAGUCGUAACA
rnacentral:rRNA from 1 species